UAGUGCCCUUUAAGCUGCAGGAAGGGGAGGUUCGGAUCAUCUCGCUGUCUCAGUGUCAGUCUUAUUUCGACAUGAAGACCAUCACUCCCAGGAUGCUUUGUGCCGGCUACGACGCUGGAACCGUCGACUCCUGCAUGGGUGACAGUGGCGGUCCGUUGGUGUGUGAGGAGGAGGACGGUCACUGGACAUUGUUUGGCCUGACGUCGUGGGGCAGCGUGUGUUUCAGUAAAGUGCUCGGACCUGGAGUUUACAGCAACGUGACGCACUUUACCCCCUGGAUCCAACAACAGAUCUACAUCCACACAUACCUGAACGACUGACUUACACACAUACACACACACACACACAACCUCUUUCAUUCCAGGAGGAAGUGAUGUCAUCAUCAGUCACACACACCUGCAGUUCCUCUACCUGUGCCUAUAUCUAUACUGAUAGCCUUCAGAUGCUAACUGCUAUACGAGCAGUAGUAUAAACUAGUAUUACAGAUGCUAACUAGUUAGCUAGUAGAGCUGUUGUUGUUAACAAGUAGACAUCACAUCCAUACAAUUAAACAUUGAGUUAACACUAAGUUAUUACUUUUAUUAAUUUCUUUAUUCUACAGUGUUGGGCUUGUUGCUCAGAAACAUGUAUGGAAGCAAAAAAAGUCAAGAAAUAACUACACACCUACUGCAAAUGUAAACAUUACUGAAUAUUUAAAGUUGAAAUUUAAGCAGAACAUUUCACUGCAACAAAUAUCUUGGUGACAUAUGUUUCACUCUGAAAACCAAAAUAGUCUCUUAUUGAAGGGAAUGUCAUUCCCUGUAAAAUAUUUCAGUACCAUUUAAACUUUAACAUUAAAUAUUCAGUAGUAGUUAAAUUUCAUACUGACAUAAAAAUUCAAAUCAAUAUGAAGUGUUUUUGAUUCAUUAAUUAAAGUUAUUAUUAGUUGAUUUGUAGCUUGAUAGCAUCAGUAACUCAGAGGAAAAUCUAUCCAUCCAGAGAAUUCAGCAGUCUGAUCUUCACUUUUACAGGAAUAUUUCUUGUAAACAGGACUUCAGUUAAUUGUUGCAUUAAUAAUCUCCAAAGUGAACUGAACUCAUGGUCAGGUUUAAAACAUCAUCCGAUCGUCUGCUUCUUCAGCUAAACAUUAAAAUUUAAAUCACCAUUAUACCGUUGUCACAAUGUUCGGGUGUUCAGCGCUGAAGUUCUAAAAGCUGCUAGCUAAAACAGACCAGCUGAGCACUCAACCUCCCACAAUGCUUCACUCUAUAGUGCCUGUACUUAAACCUAGCAGUAAAAAAAAAAACAACAACUUGUUACCUGUAUAAUGUUGUACUGUAUGUGAGUAUGUGUGAGAGCGAGAAAGGGGAUUUUUAUUUUGCUUCUAAACACACUGGCAACUUAUUUGGUCAACUUUGAUGGACAAUGUUUAUCACUGAGCUUUAUUUACGUUUAAUUCACAUUUUUAAUUCUUUAAAAUGUCACGUAGGACCACCCAUGCCCUGAAAUAUUCUUUUUCUUUCUGCUGAUAUGUCUUAUGUUUUAAAUAUCUUUUUAAAAUCCUUCUUUCAGGGCUUCAGGAGUUCUGUAGAGUCUAUACAGCACCCAGACUCAGUCAUGUUUUAAAACGUUAACAUAAAAUGGUGCACUGUAAUGUAAUCAUAAACAGGUCUAAGUGCUUAUGUGUUUGUUAACAAGUCUAACUCUUGCUGUAUAAACAGAUAAUGAACCACAAUAUAGUAGAAGACAGCUGUAACAAGAUAAGUAGGGAAAAUACUCAACAUGAAUUAACAUUAAUUUAGACUUAAAUAUCCUUAUAUCUGCUUAUAAACAGUUAAUUACUUGUGUAUGUACUGAUUAUACAUGAUAAAUAGGGGUACCUACAGCAGUCAAAAUUUAUCUAUGAAUUUAGGUGUUAAGUUAAAAUAAAGGGUAAAGAAAAAACAGGUCAUUAGUCAUAUCUGUUGCAUAUUGCUAACACAGACAACUGGUCGGUGUUUUAUGAUGUUAGCAAAUGUUAUCAAUAAGGUAAAUUAGCUUUAGCUGUUAAUUUACAAAUCAAAAAAUCUGUAGUUUUAAAAGAAGCUGUUUUAGAUAGCUACUUAGCUAAUGCUUACCUUAGACUCGCUAACAAAAACAAUUAACUGCCAACUUAGCGCCAGCUAGAAUGUGAAGCACAAAUGUAGCAUAUCGGCAAUAGAUCAUUAAUGCAUUCUCAUUUUGUAUUAGCAAAUGUUAGCAGUAAGCUACAUUAACUUUAGCUAUGUAUCUAUUAAUAUCUAUUAUCUAUGAAUGAAUCAGAAUUCAAAGGAAUUUCUGCCUUUAAUGAUACAUUCACUCAAUGUUGUCAGAACGUGGAGAACAGAAAAACAGGCAUUAUUCUAAGGUGUUAGCCCAAGUGCUAAUCUUGUAGCCACAGCAGAUAAACCAGCUAAAGACUAAACUAGCUUUUUUUGUUCUGUAUAUGCCAGAAUUAUCUUUAAAAAAAAUUAAGAGUUGCAGACAUUUUCACUUAAAUGGGGGGAGUCAGAAUAUCUUAUUUCAGACUUGAAAUAUUUACAUCAGGAUUAAGAGAACAACAUGUUUCCAACCCUGCAGUCGAGCUGCCCAACAAGUUGCCCAACAGGUUGCCCAGUGUGUCCUCCAUGCUAAGGUCUAACUGACAUCCAGAACAUUCCAGGUGGUCGUUGUUGUCGUUGUUUUGUGUGUUUGGUUUUUUAAAAGUAUUUUUCUACAGUUUUUUGUAUGUCAUGCUUCUUACACAGGGCUGUUGGUGUGUAUGUGUGUGAGUGUGAGUGUGUGUGUGAACAUACAGUCACGUGUACAGACUGUGUGUUUGUAUGUGAUUUGGCUUGUGUGUGUGUGUGUGUGUGUUUCUGAUGUCACUUCCUGAUUUAGCUGUUAGAACUUUGUUAUCACGAUGAUGAUGAUGAUGAUGAUGAAGAGUGUUAUUGUUUGAUUACAUGGAUUUAAAUGCUUUAUGAAAAGACUGUAGCUUCUGAUGUUUGUGUAAACAGUGAAUAUUUGGUUUGUAUCACCUUGUAUCCACCAAUAAAACUAUACACACACUCUGUCA